AAACAUUUCCUCUUAGAUAAAGAGGUAAGGCCUGCUCACUGAAUUUUAAAGAGCCGCAGUAUUCKARCUGUGCUAAGGUAGCAUAAUCAUUAGUCUUUUAAUUGGAGACUGGUAUGAAUGGCUUAACGAGAAAUUAACUUUUUUUGUUAUAAAGAUUGAAUUUAAUUUUUUAGUGAAAAAGCUAAAAUUGUUCAGAAAGACGAGAAGACCCUUUAGAGUUUUAUGUUUUAAAAAUAAAUUUUUAUUAGAUUUUGAAUUAUGUAUUUUUAUAAAACAUUUUGUUGGGGCGACAUAAAGAUAAAUAAAACUCUUUAUAUUAAAAAUUUUUAUAAAAAUAUUCUUGAUCCUUUAUAAGAGAUUAUAAGAAAAAAUUACCUUAGGGAUAACAGCGUAAUCUUUUUUAAGAGUUCUAAUCGACAAAAAGGUUUGCGACCUCGAUGUUGGACUAAAAUUUAGGCAGGGUGCAGCAGUUCUGCUUUAAGGUCUGUUCGACCUAUAAAA
rnacentral:rRNA from 1 species